CCCUUCUCAACUUCAUGUGCUUGUUUUUGUUUUCUUUAAGGGAGGCCACUUAGUCCUGUGUCCAUGUGCAUGCUUAGGACAUCUACCGGAGUGUAGGCAAUGUCUCAUGUCUGUCCCACAUCCAUUAAGAAAACUGCCAACAGCUCCUCAGCUAGGGGGUGGGACUUCAGGACCAUCCCCCUACCCCAUGCUGGGAUUCUGUCUGGCUUGAUCUUACAUAGCUAAGUCUUGUGAAUGCCGUCACAACUGCUAUGAAUUCAUAUGUGUAACUGCCCGUGCCCAGGGAACACUGUUUCACUGUAGUUACCCACCACUGGGUCUUACGAUUCAGUCAUUCACACAGGUGUCAUAUCCAACUGGAAAAUAAGCCGUGUAUACAUAGUGAAAUAAAGAUGACUUUGGAUUUAGUUAACAGAAAUUUAAUAAAAACCUAACGGCAGGAAUUUCAUCCUAUUAAAAAAAAUGACAACUGCCUACUAAGCACAAAUAUUAGAUACUUUCUCUGUUUUGUAAAAUAGAAUUAACAAUAUAGGACAGGACCACAGGAAUACAAAGGAAACAUGAGUCUAGAGUCCUUUCUGUUUCAGGUCGGGGUCAUUUGUGUGUUUCAACCCUGAACAAAAUACCAGUCUAAAUUCAAUCAUGACAAUAAAAUACAUUCCAUUUUCCAAGUUGCUGGUAAUAAAUAUUUACAUUUUUAAAAAUAGUUUUUGGGUGUUUUUUUUUUCUUUUUAAAAAGACACAGCAUGCUUGAGUACACAGAAUAUGGAAAACAUCAUGUUGCAGGGUGACCUGGUGGUAUAAAAUGGCCUUCUGUAUUCAAGACAGCCAUCCUCGGAGACACUACCAUGAUCUACCUCCGGGUGAUGUUUAAGUAUGCUCCUCGGAACACUAUCCUACGUUGUAUCUAGCAGUGCUCUAACACGUGCAGUCCUUAGUACCUUCUAUACCCUCCCCCUCCUCCUCCCCCUCCUCCUCCUCCAUAUGGGUCUCCAUAGCCCCCCCACUAUAGCCCCCUCUCCCACCAUAGCCCCC
rnacentral:lncRNA from 1 species